rnacentral:rRNA from 1 species
AACGAACGCUGGCGGCAGGCUUAACACAUGCAAGUCGAACGCAUCCUUCGGGGUGAGUGGCAGACGGGUGAGUAACGCGUGGGAACGUGUCCUUCAGUUCGGGAUAACCCAGGGAAACUUGGGCUAAUACCGGAUACGUGCGAGAGCAGAAAGAUUUAUCGCUGAAGGAUCGGCCCGCGUCUGAUUAGCUAGUUGGUGGGGUAAUGGCCCACCAAGGCGACGAUCAGUAGCUGGUCUGAGAGGAUGAUCAGCCACAUUGGGACUGGGACACGGCCCAAACUCCUGCGGGAGGCAGCAGUGGGGAAUAUUGGACAAUGGGCGCAAGCCUGAUCCAGCCAUGCCGCGUGAGUGAUGAAGGCCUUAGGGUUGUAAAGCUCUUUCGUCCGGGACGAUAAUGACGGUACCAACAGAAAAAGCACCGGCUAACUACGUGCCAGCCGCCGCGGUAA